CAUGGCUCAGAUUGAACGCUGGCGGCAGGCCUAACACAUGCAAGUCGAGCGGAAACGAGUUAUCUGAACCUUCGGGGRASGAUARCGGCGUCGAGCGGCGGACGGGUGAGUAAUGCCUAGGAAAUUGCCCUGAUGUGGGGGAUAACCAUUGGAAACGAUGGCUAAUACCGCAUGAUGCCUACGGGCCAAAGAGGGGGACCUUCGGGCCUCUCGCGUCAGGAUAUGCCUAGGUGGGAUUAGCUAGUUGGUGAGGUAAGGGCUCACCAAGGCGACGAUCCCUAGCUGGUCUGAGAGGAUGAUCAGCCACACUGGAACUGAGACACGGUCCAGACUCCUACGGGAGGCAGCAGUGGGGAAUAUUGCACAAUGGGCGCAAGCCUGAUGCAGCCAUGCCGCGUGUGU
rnacentral:rRNA from 1 species